rnacentral:rRNA from 1 species
AUUGAACGCUGGCGGCAGGCCUAACACAUGCAAGUCGAGCGGGAACUUCGGUUCUAGCGGCGGACGGGUGAGUAAUGCGUAGGAAGCUACCCGACAGAGGGGGAUACCAGUUGGAAACGACUGUUAAUACCGCAUAAUGUCUACGGACCAAAGUGUGGGACCUUCGGGCCACAUGCUGUCGGAUGCGCCUACGUGGGAUUAGCUAGUUGGUGAGGUAAUGGCUCACCAAGGCGACGAUCCCUAGCUGGUUUGAGAGGAUGAUCAGCCACACUGGAACUGAGACACGGUCCAGACUCCUACGGGAGGCAGCAGUGGGGAAUAUUGGACAAUGGGCGCAAGCCUGAUCCAGCCAUGCCGCGUGUGUGAAGAAGGCCUUCGGGUUGUAAAGCACUUUCAGUAGGGAGGAAGGAGUUGUCGUUAAUAGCUGCAACUUUUGACGUUACCUACAGAAGAAGCACCGGCUAACUACGUGCCAGCAGCCGCAGUAAUAC